UGAUAUGUUUUCUCAAGCAUCAAGAAGUACAAGAUAAUAUGAAAUACGAUCAUUUGGGAAUGGUUGUGUACUAGAAUCUCCACUAAUUGGAAUUUUAAGAAAAUUUCUUACUAUUUAGCAAUGGGAACUUUCUAUUUUAAAGCACGCAAAAUAUACCUAGAUAAGUUCAUAUAUUUCCUACACUCUGAUCAAAGCCAUUUGCACAGUUCCAUUUGUUGAUUGCAUCUCAGCAAAUUCAUUUAUUCAUGUCUCAGCAUAGCACCAUUCGAUCAGGCAAUAGUUGUCCUAUGAAGGCAAAAGACACCAACAGCAUCCCAUUUUCUCAGACCCACAGAAGACAUGGAAGAGGCCAAAAUGAUUUGUCUUAAGGAUCUUUCACCAGCGGCUACAAAUACAGUGAACACAAAAUUUAUUAUGUUGGAGAAAGGGAAACCAAUGAAAGAUGGAGGAGAAAGGACUUGUUUGACUUUGGUAGCUGAUCAAUCUGCUUCUGUUCACUUUCAACUUUGGGGAAAUGAAUGUGAUGCUUUUCAACCUGGUGAUAUUAUUCAUCUAACUAAUGGCAUUUUCUCCUAUCAUAAAGCUAAUCUUGUUUUAAGAGCUGGAAAGAAAGGGAAGGCACAGAAGAUCGGAGAGUUCACUAUGACAUUUGUUGAGAUGCCCAAUAUGAGUGAGCUGCGUUGGGUGCGUGAUCCUUCUGAUCACAAAAAGUUAAUACCUGAUCCUACCAUCUCUGCCCCUCCCUCUUCCAGAAUCUUUCCUUCAAUUCCAAAUUGAUCAACAAAUGUCAUUGGCAGUAGUUAACUCUUCCAACGACUGCUAUAUUUGCAUUGUAUAAAAAGACUUGAAAUAUGACAGGAAUAUAUAUAUAUAUAUAAAAGGUUGAUAAUUAACCAAA